AGGAAGUCCAAUUAUUUUAUCUGGUUACACAUUGCUCACCACUUCACUGCUCCAGCACAAAACUUAGGGUCCCAGCAGCUUUCCGUCUUCAGGACAGCCAUUUUAGACUGCCGUUUCUCCCUGUCUUCCAAGGGAGUAAUACCUAGCUAGGGAGGGGAGAUGUGGUCCCCCUCGAUCCAGCUGGCGGUCUCCCCCUCUUCGUCCACCACUCCAAGGUGGGUCAGAUGACUCCGGUCCUGUAGGGACCCUUCCGACAAGGUAAACACGGAUCAAAGCCAUGCACGAUCGCGGUAUCUGAUCCGUUGUCAAUGGAACCACCACCGGAAGUCUAGAACUGGUUGUUAUGAUUCUGUGCAUUUCGGUGAC